rnacentral:lncRNA from 1 species
CAGCCUUCCUCCGGGAGUUUCCAACCCACAAGUCCCUGCCAGGGAAAGAUGAACAAUGCUGGCCCUUGUUUGUUGUGGAGCUGGCGUGUGGGAGAGAGGAGGAUAAUGGAAUGCAAUUAACCCAACCCUGGAACAAGGAUGACCCAGCUCCUCCAUCUGACCUGAUAGCCCCAGAGAUUCAAGAUCUUCCUAUAUUUCUCUCAGUUUCAUUGUUAUAAUGUUUUAAUCUCAUCUCUUC